UACGAGGGGGGCGAGCGUUGUUCGGAAUUAUUGGGCGUAAAGGGUGCGUAGGCGGUUUGGUAAGUCUUAUGUGAAAUCUACAGGCUCAACUUGUAGUCUGCAUGAGAAACUGCCGGGCUUGAGUAUGGGAGAGGUGAGUGGAAUUCCUGGUGUAGCGGUGAAUUGCGUAGAUAUCAGGAGGAACACCUGUGGCGAAAGCGGCUCACUGGACCAUAACUGACGCUGAUGCACGAAAGCCAGGGGAGCAAACAGG
rnacentral:rRNA from 1 species